UGACCAGACCGCAGAAGACGCUCACUGCU
rnacentral:piRNA from 1 species